AACGAACGCUGGCGGCAGGCUUAACACAUGCAAGUCGAACGCUCCGCAAGGAGAGUGGCAGACGGGUGAGUAACACGUGGGAACGUAACCUUUACUACGGAACAACUCCGGGAAACUGGAGCUAAUACCGUAUGUGCCCUUUGGGGGAAAGAUUUAUCGGUAAAGGAUCGGCCGGCGUUGGAUUAGCUAGUUGGGGGGGUAAAGGCCUACCAAGGCGACGAUCCAUAGCUAGUCUGAGAGGAUGAUCAGCCACAUUGGGACUGAGACACGGCCCAAACUCCUACGGGAGGCAGCAGUGGGGAAUAUUGGACAAUGGGCGCAAGCCUGAUCCAGCCAUGCCGCGUGUGUGAUGAAGGCCUUAGGGUUGUAAAGCACUUUCACCGGAGAAGAUAAUGACGGUAUCCGGAGAAGAAGCCCCGGCUAACUUCGUGCCAGCAGCCGCCGUAA
rnacentral:rRNA from 1 species